GGCAGUGUGGUAUUAUGGGUAAGGAGCUAGUCUUGUAAUCUAAAGGUCUGGGGUUCGAUUCCCAGGUAGGACACUGCCG
rnacentral:tRNA from 1 species